CAAAGUGCUUAUUGUGCAGGUAGU
rnacentral:miRNA from 1 species